rnacentral:rRNA from 1 species
CGGCUGCAGUGGGGAAUAUUGGACAAUGGGCGAAAGCCUGAUCCAGCAAUGCCGCGUGAGUGAUGAAGGCCUUAGGGUUGUAAAGCUCUUUUACCCGGGAUGAUAAUGACAGUACCGGGGGAAUAAGCUCCGGCUAACUCCGUGCCAGCAGCCGCGGUAAUACGGAGGGAGCUAGCGUUGUUCGGAAUUACUGGGCGUAAAGCGCGCGUAGGCGGUUUUUUAAGUCAGAGGUGAAAGCCCAGUGCUCAACACUGGAACUGCCUUUGAAACUGGAAAACUUGAAUCUUGGAGAGGUCAGUGGAAUUCCGAGUGUAGAGGUGAAAUUCGUAGAUAUUCGGAAGAACACCAGUGGCGAAGGCGACUGACUGGACAAGUAUUGACGCUGAGGUGCGAAAGCGUGGGGAGCAAACAGGAUUAGAUACCCGGGUAGUC